rnacentral:rRNA from 1 species
AUUGAACGCUGGCGGCAUGCCUUACACAUGCAAGUCGAACGGCAGCACGGGGCAACCUGGUGGCGAGUGGCGAACGGGUGAGUAAUGCAUCGGAACGUGCCAUUGAGUGGGGGAUAACGUAGCGAAAGUUGCGCUAAUACCGCAUAUUCUGUGAGCAGGAAAGCAGGGGACCGCAAGGCCUUGCGCUCUUUGAGCGGCCGAUGUCAGAUUAGCUAGUUGGUGAGGUAACGGCUUACCAAGGCGACGAUCUGUAGCGGGUCUGAGAGGAUGAUCCGCCACACUGGAACUGAGACACGGUCCAGACUCCUACGGGAGGCAGCAGUGGGGAAUUUUUGGACAAUGGGCGCAAGCCUGAUCCAGCCAUGCCGCGUGAGUGAAGAAGGCC